AAGCCCAGGAGAUCUCCGAUCUCUUCUCCAAGUUUGCAACUUGGCGUGAUACACCCCAGGACU
rnacentral:tRNA from 1 species